rnacentral:rRNA from 1 species
GAUGAACGCUGGCGGCGUGCCUAAUACAUGCAAGUCGAGCGAACAGACGAGGAGCUUGCUCCUCUGACGUUAGCGGCGGACGGGUGAGUAACACGUGGAUAACCUACCUAUAAGACUGGGAUAACUUCGGGAAACCGGAGCUAAUACCGGAUAAUAUAUUGAACCGCAUGGUUCAAUAGUGAAAGACGGUUUUGCUGUCACUUAUAGAUGGAUCCGCGCCGCAUUAGCUAGUUGGUAAGGUAACGGCUUACCAAGGCAACGAUGCGUAGCCGACCUGAGAGGGUGAUCGGCCACACGGGAACUGAGACACGGACCAGACUCCUACGAGAGGCAGCAGUAGGGAAUCUUCCGCAAUGGGCGAAAGCCUGACGGAGCAACGCCGCGUGAGUGAUGAAGGUCUUCGGAUCGUAAAACUCUGUUAUUAGGGAAGAACAAAUGUGUAAGUAACUAUGCACGUCUUGACGGUACCUAAUCAGAAAGCCACGGCUAACUACGUG